CGCCCAGACUCCUACGGGAGGCAGCAGUGGGGAAUAUUGCACAAUGGGGGAAACCCUGAUGCAGCGACGCCGCGUGAGUGAAGAAGUAAUUCGUUAUGUAAAGCUCUAUCAGCAGGGAAGAAAAUGACGGUACCUGAGUAAGAAGCCCCGGCUAACUACGUGCCAGCAGCCGCGGUAAUACGUAGGGGGCAAGCGUUAUCCGGAUUUACUGGGUGUAAAGGGAGCGUAGACGGCAUGGCAAGUCAGAUGUGAAAGCCCGGGGCUCAACCCCGGGACUGCAUUUGAAACUGUCAGGCUGGAGUGCAGGAGAGGUAAGUGGAAUUCCUAGUGUAGCGGUGAAAUGCGUAGAUAUUAGGAGGAACUCCAGUGGCGAAGGCGGCCUACUGGACGGUGACUGACGCUGAGGCUCGAAAGCGUGGGGAGCAAACAGGAUUAGAUACCCGAGUAC
rnacentral:rRNA from 1 species